CAGUCGCCGCGGGAAUACGGAGGGCGCGAGCGUUACCCGGAUUUACUGGGCGUAAAGGGCGUGUAGGCGGCCUGGGGCGUCCCAUGUGAAAGGCCACGGCUCAACCGUGGAGGAGCGUGGGAUACGCUCAGGCUAGAGGGUGGGAGAGGGUGGUGGAAUUCCCGGAGUAGCGGUGAAAUGCGCAGAUACCGGGAGGAACGCCGAUGGCGAAGGCAGCCACCUGGUCCACUUCUGACGCUGAGGCGCGAAAGCGUGGGGAGCAAACCGGAUUAGAUACCCGAGUAGUCCCUGUCUCUUAUAC
rnacentral:rRNA from 1 species